ACGCUCGACACCUACUGGAGGCAGCAGUGAGGAAUAUUGGUCAAUGGGCGCAGGCCUGAACCAGCCAAGUAGCGUGAAGGAUGACUGCCCUAUGGGUUGUAAACUUCUUUUAUAUGGGAAUAAAGUUUUCCACGUGUGGAAUUUUGUAUGUACCAUAUGAAUAAGGAUCGGCUAACUCCGUGCUAGCAGCCGCGGUAAUCUGAGCGGGCUGGCAAGGC
rnacentral:rRNA from 1 species